CGCAAGAGGGCCUGGACUGGGAUUCAGUCCGGGAUCUCUCGACUGCGAGGCAGCAAACGUGAUCGUCGAUGGUCACACCGUUAAAAUCAAGAAGAUUUCCUAGAAAAUGAGCAAAUAAAUCAAGACAAGCGAAGGUCUCGAAAGUGAGAAACCGGGCAACCUUCUGGGUGAACUUUGUUGUGUUUACAAAAUGCAUAUCAGUGAUCCAGUUCCAGGAAAGGGAGGUCCAAAAAGCCUUCAAAGACAAUCUGAAGCAAAAAUCUUCCGGACGCUGAGGAAACCACUUUGGAGUGCGGAGGAGCAGAUAGGCCGCGCUUCGGGAUCAGCAACACGUUGGAACUCGGUUGUCUUUGACUUCAUCUGAGUUCAACCCAAGAUUCUUCAUCCCGGUGGGGGUCAACUUCAGUCCACUUUUGUUUGGGCAGGAGCGCCCUUUAUUGUCAAUUUGAAUGUGGCUAAAAUGAGGACGCUAGCAACAAGCUAACGCCAGCUAGCGAGGGCCGUGUUGGCCCACGUGGAAGAAGACGAGAACGCUAGCGACGGGCAAACGCCUAGCGAGGCCUGCAUCGGCUGGCGAGGCCUCCAUUGGAGUACAAGGACAAAACUUCGCAACGGAUCGGACCGUCAGGACUUGGAUGAGCCUGGACGAUUGGACACAACCCUCGACGUUCGUCACUCCUGCCGCUUAAAACAAAGACAGGGGUCAUCCGUCGCAUUGCUCACGAAGGCCAGGAGAUGAGCCCGUAAGCCGGAAAAGUCAUGUGAGAAAGUUUAGAACUUCCUCUUCAAGAUGAUCAUAACAGACCCAAAAUGACCCACUCGCCCCACUAUCAUAACAAUACAGUAUGCAGCAGUUCGUGACGUCUUUCUGCAUUUAAAUAUGGGGAAUGAUUUUGAAACUUGAAUCAAUAAAAUUACCAACACCCAAAAAACACAUUUAAUGAGCCAGCAAAUAAAACACUAAUAUUCCAUGCACUUGAUAUUUAAUUUUCAUCUCAUUUGAAAACUGGAAGGAGAAGAAAGAAAAAUAAUCUCGGCUCCGCCGCCGCUGCCGUUAGGUUACAGAACCCGCUGCGAUAAGUGAAAAUGGGCAGUAUAGAAAUAUGUAUUAUGUUUAGAUACACCCUAGCUGUGUUUUUGUAGCAUUUCCAGCGUCUGAAACUUCUUUAAACUUUUUCCAUCUUCAAACACACCUUUCAAACCAUACAAACCCAUUUAAACACGUAUAACAUAUUGAGAAAGAGAGAGCGCAAGAGCUACGGAUAGCAUAAAAAUAAUACAAACAGUAAAACAAAAUAGAGUUACUACCGUAAUAACAUUGAGAAACCCGCAAUUGGAGUAUUAAUGAUAUUCAGUUGAAGAACGAAACCAUGAAAAUCUGAUGAUAUGCGUUAAAUAAUAUUGUACAUUUUAAAUGAAAAAACCCAACUUAACAAAAGCAUCUGGUAUGAACCUGAGGGCCUCGUUUUUCACAUUUGCCACAUCUCAAAAACAUGGAUUAAUUGGAGACUCGAAAUUGCCCAUAGGUGUGAAUGGUACUACUGGUUUUAUACACACAUGCAAACACACACACACACACAUGUGCCCUGCGAUUGGCUGGUGACCCGUUCAGGGUGUAUCUCGCCCCUCAGCCCAAGAUAGCUGGGAAAGGCUCCAGGACGCCUGUGACCCGAGUGAGGA